rnacentral:rRNA from 1 species
UGGGGAAUUUUGGACAAUGGGGGAAACCCUGAUCCAGCCAUCCCGCGUGUGCGAUGAAGGCCUUCGGGUUGUAAAGCACUUUUGGCAGGAAAGAAACGUCGCGGGUUAAUACCCCGCGAAACUGACGGUACCUGCAGAAUAAGCACCGGCUAACUACGUGCCAGCAGCCGCGGUAAUACGUAGGGUGCAAGCGUUAAUCGGAAUUACUGGGCGUAAAGCGUGCGCAGGCGGUUCGGAAAGAAAGAUGUGAAAUCCCAGAGCUUAACUUUGGAACUGCAUUUUUAACUACCGGGCUAGAGUGUGUCAGAGGGAGGUGGAAUUCCGCGUGUAGCAGUGAAAUGCGUAGAUAUGCGGAGGAACACCGAUGGCGAAGGCAGCCUCCUGGGAUAACACUGACGCUCAUGCACGAAAGCGUGGGGAGCAAACAGGAUUAGAUACCCUGGUAGUCCACGCCCUAAACGAUGUCAACUAGCUGUUGGGGGCCUUCGGGCCUUGGUAGCGCAGCUAACGCGCGAAGUUGACCGCCUGGGGAGUACGGUCGCAAGAUUAAAACUUAAAUGAAUUGACGGGGGUCAUAGCUGUUUCCU